CUACGCUUUAAUUUGUGGGAAAAUCUGAUCUGCCUAUUUGGGGAGAUAAAAAGCAUUGCUUAGAGAGAUUAAGUAACUUU